UGGGGAAUAUUGCACAAUGGACGGAAGUUUGAUGCAGCGACGCCGCGUGGAGGGUGUAGGCCUUUGGGUUGUGAACUCCUUUUUCUCGCGAAAAAGGCACAGUUUUGGCUGUGUUGAUGGUAGUGGGGGAAGAAGCGCCGGCUAACUACGUGCCAGCAGCCGCGGUAAUACGUAGGGCGCGAGCGUUUUCCGGAUUUAUUGGGCGUAAAGAGCUCGUAGUUGGUUCGUCGCGUCUGUCGUGAAAGCCAGCAGCUUAACUGUUGGUCUGCGGUGGGUACGGGCGGGCUUGAGUGCGGUAGGGGUGACUGGAAUUCCUGGGGUAGCGGUGGAAUGCGCAGAUAUCAGGAGGAACACCGAUGGCGAAGGCAGGUCACUGGGCCGUUACUGACACUGAGGAGCGAAAGCGUGGGGAGCGAACAGG
rnacentral:rRNA from 1 species